rnacentral:rRNA from 1 species
GGGCAAUUAGAGGCGGAGGAUCCCGUGUUGUGCUCGCCGAGGACCCCGAGCAGAGCGAGGCGACCCAGAAGGUCGCGGUGGGCGCUGGUAGAGGGCAGCGAUCCCAAAAGGGGCCGCACCAAGCCGCUGAGUCUAGGUCCUACGGUACCCGCCUACCGGAGAAGGAGGGAACGGGGCUGCGGUACUUAAACGAUCUGGACCGACAACCGGCGCUCGGGUCGGUGGAGGAACGCCGGCGUAGCAGACCUAGACCGGCUGAGAGAUCGGGCCGGCGUAGUAGCCCCAGAGCGGGCGCUCCUAGGUCCGGUGGGUGGGGGCGAGGGCAGACAGCGGCGAGGCCUAGGCGCGGUGGGCGCGAGGAGCUGGAGCUCGAAGCGGGGGCGAGCAGACAACGGCGAGGCUCCGCCGUCGCGUCGACCGGACUCGGGCUCGUCCUCGUCGUUGAGUAGAGUGGGUUCGGCAACAGGCACUCGGGUCGGUGGAGGAGGACCUUUCCCAAGGUGGUUACGUCGGGUGCUCUACUUAUAUACUCAUAUACUCGAUUACAUACAAAAUCAUCUAUAUAUGUUUAGUUACACUUAAGACUUGACUCGCUGGGUACUCAAGUAGAUAUGUUUAUACACUUAAGACUUGACUCGCUGGGAACUCAAGUAGGUAUGUUUAUAAGUAGAGCUGUCAGGUGACAAAUGAUGUCAUCAUCAAUAAAAUCAAAGGUGUGUAGCCAAUAAGACUUAAGGGUCAGUGUCCAUUGACGGUUUGGCGUGUUGAAUUAAAAUGUGAUGACCUUUUCCCACGUUCAAUACUAAGGAAACGACUUCGGACGUGCAGAGAUAGAUUUAACAAACAGUACUCAAAAGACUGAAAUUAGCUAGCGUCGUCGACCUUCUACCUCGGACUGGUCUCACCGUGGCCCGUCUGAAGAGGGGCACCCUUACUGACUCUCCAGCACGUCGAGUGGCGCACCGGACGGAUCCCAAAGACCACCGAUGUGCGGCCGGUACCCAGAGGCUUGUGGUACUUCCGCUGCCACGACUAAGCUAAACUAGGAGUUCCGGUGGGUACCUAGAACGACGUCCUCCACACAAAACCUCUUGGUUGGACUCUACGUCCACCCAAGAACCCGGCACGAGAAGAGCUCGUACUCCCGGUACUCCCCAAACGAGGAGACGGGGAUCCCGCUGGUUCUCCAGGACGGGGCUCGAGUUCGUGCAGGUGCGGCUGGGUGCUGCUGUGCAGGUAUUGUCGAGCGAGUUAGUCAUAACCGACACUGCAGCUACCUCUUGAUUUGGAACGACGGUGUGAGACGUUGUAGUUGUCCACGGAAGCAAGCCUGAGAUGCUUGUAUGGGCUUUUACCACAAGGGAGAGUAAAUGUCCUCGAGAUCAGACCUUCACUUCAUCCUUCAUAUAAGCUUCAAGUUCCGGCACAUCGUUUAUCAACAUACAAAACAGAUACACAUUAUCUGACAUGUAUAACAUUAUCUGAUACAUGUCUAAUAUCAUCUGAUUAAAUCACAAGAAACUACUUGACGUAAACAAUACAAGACAAACUUUAUUACUAAUACACUAAACUUUUUUAAUCACUUUACCUUUGGACUGAGCACCCUGGUUGAAUACUUUUAUUAGACUC